AUCUACCCUCUGAAGUUUGCGUUAAAUCUUUUAACAAAAUUCAUUUCCCCUCUCCUAGAUACUAUCAAGCUUCAGAUGAUUAUUCCACAAGUGUUCCAGCCAAUCCACACCAGGCCAUCAAGGAGCUACCUUGCCUCCACUAGACAAAGCAGGGUGUGACUCUGGAACACUGCAUUGGUGUAGUAUCCAGACUGUACAGAAAACAUGGCAACAUCUGCUUCUGAGGAGGCCUCAGGGAGCUUUAAUUCAUGCAGAAGGCAAAGAUGGAGCAGGCAUCUUCAUGGCAAGAGCAGGACCAAGAGAGAUCGGGGAGCUGCUGUAUACUUUUAAACAACCAAAUCUCAUGAAAACUCACUAUCACAAUUGACAGAAACAAGAGGAAAAUCUGACCCCCGUGAUCCAGUCACUUUCCCA
rnacentral:lncRNA from 1 species